ACAGCAGUAGUUCAAUUGGAAGAGCACCUUCUCAGCAGGAAGGGAGUUGCGGGUUCGAGUCUCGCCUGCUGUU
rnacentral:tRNA from 1 species